UGAUAAGCUGUCGUUGAAGCUAUCAAAUUAAUACUACUUUUCAAGGCAACUUCAGUAUUGCCUAGUAGUAUUUAAGAAAGUAGAUAGGGCUAAAGUAACCCUAAGUCGUCUCCCAACGAACACGGAAUUGCUUUUGAAUAUCUGAAACUUAUGAAUGCUUAUGCAAUGCUUAUGAACCAAAAUGAGGAUGUAUAAAGAUGUUUGUAAAACAAAUAGAAAACUUAAAAACAAUUAUGAGGAAACAGGCUAAUUCCACUGCUUUUCCAAAAUAGAUUCAUCAUUGGUUAUUCACAGAUCAUUGUUUAAUUGAUUAUUGUUUAAGUUUCAAAUUAAUUAAAGUACAUUCUUAAUUAAUUUGAUGGCGAUCAUGCAGUUAAUCAAAGUACAUUCUCAAUCAAAUGCAAGACCUUUGUAGAUUAUUCACAGUAAAUUCAACCAAAGUACAUUCUCAAUCAAGUUUAUUGUGUUUAAUCAUAUCUAUUCUUAAAUCUCUUUACCAAAUUAAAAGUUAAUCAAUCAAAGUAAAUUCUCAAUUGAUUUUAGUUGAAAUUAUUACUACCAACCAAAGUAAAUUCUCAAUUGAUAGUAAAAACCAUUUAAUCAUAUGAAAGUUCCUAAAUUAAAUCAAAGUAGAUUCUCAAUUAAACCUAGAAACCCUAGAACUCAUAUAAUUAAUAUGCAUGUAGAUUCAAACACAUAAUGAUGCAAAAAUCUUUGCUUUUAAUAUGAUAGAGAGAUGAAAGACAUAGAGAGAGAUAACUUAAAUCAAUAAUCAAAAUAAACAAUUGCAUUAAAUCACUUAACCUUAGAAUCCAUAAUGAAAUUACAGCAGAAUAGCCCUAGGAGUUUAGAAACACAUGAUGAAAGAGUGAAAGCAGUGGUGGAUGAAUGGAUGAAUGAAUGGUAUCUUUUGUGUCUCCCCUAGGUCUCUUUAUAUAGGCUUGUUUGGGCUUGGACUCUGAAUAUUCAGUUGAUAGAAUCUUUUAUCUUAUAUCUUCCAAAUAACUAAAAGAUUUAGAUAAUUAUAACAUUAUUUGGAAGAUAUUUUCUGUUGAUAUUUCCCAAUUAAAUUAAUUCAACAACUGAAUUUUAUCUUUUAGUUUUUCUGAUUUUCCAAAAUUGCACAAAUACCCUGAUUUUUCUAUAUCUGCACUUAAGUCCCUUUGUUUCUUUCCAAAAUUGCAAGAAAGCCCCCAGUUGACCAGUCUUGACCAGAUUCAAAUAGCAUUGACCAGCUUUUGACUCAACAUGACGCACCAAUGAGAUGCCGCCACGUGUCUACCCCUUCCCAACCCAAAUUAGGUUUUGCAAUUGGGGGUAAAGGGGUUUGGAAGGCUCAUUCUGCUUGCUUUCCCUGCGCCGUAAAAACGGAAGAGAGGUUUCGCUCUCUGAUCUUUACUAUGUAGGUCCGGUGAUGGAGGCAUGGAGGAGGAGCUCGCGACGGCGUCUUUGUGUUGGGGUUGAUCUGGGUGAUUUGGGGUUUUGGGUUGGUUUUUCUGAGUGCAGGUUUCGCGAAUGGGAUGGCUCUUACUGAUGAUGGAGGCGCGACGACCAUGGUGCGAUUUCGGUUUCUCACGGUGGCGGCCUUGAAGGACGACGAUGGCUGCACGAUGUUGUUUUGCGGUUUGGAAGAGCGAGGGAGAUGAUGCGAAUCGCAAGUCUAUGGCGGCGAUUUCUGGGUUUCUGGGUUUUCUGCAGGUUGCGAAGACGAAGGAGAUUUGGUGGUGCGAUCUUGUUUCUUGGUUUUCUGAGUGCAGAUCUAAGUUGAUGAUGGUGCAGCAGUCCUCACGGUGGUGGCCUCUCGAUGAAGAAGAAGGUGGAUUGUGGAGGUUUCGCGACUUUGGCGUUUGCGAUCUACACUGGUGACGAUGGUGAUCGAUGGUUGGCCGUGGAAGUAGGCGGAUCUGUUUGUGGUUUGUUGGUUGUGCAGGUGGUGGCUGACAACGAGACCGUGGCUGGUUGCGCGAUGUGGUGGCCGGCGGCGAGGAAGCUCGAGGUUGGCGGCUAGGGUUUCACUGCAGAGGGAAAUUAGAGUUUCAGUGUGGAAGAUGAUGACGUGGCAAGUGGGUUGAGGUGGCAUGUGCUGGUUGGUCUAUCUGGUGUGCAGAGGAUUUGGACAUGUGGCGUGAUCUGGUGAAGUCUAGGGUAGGAGGGGUGUGUAUAGGAAAUUAGGGGUUACGGAUAUGAAAGGCUUAGUGUUUUGGGCUUAAUUGUUGGCCUGGUUUAGAAAAGAGGGGUGUAUGUAGAGAAAUUUGGGGGUGCACGUGUAAAAACUAACUGUUUAGCCCACCUGUACAUUAUUUAUUAAAUAAAAUCUGAUUUUGGGCUUUACAUUGCAAUUUGGACCAAUAAAGUUCUAACUUCAGCUGCACAAAUAAAUAUUAGAACAUCCAAGAAUAAUUUAUGCAAUUAAAAUCACUUUUUAAGCCCUUUUUAUUUNCAAACACACUAAAUCUAAUAAUCACAAAUCCUCUACAAAUCAAUCAUUUAAGCACAAAUAUUCUAUCAAAAAUUUUAAUUUUAAAGCAUAAAUAU
rnacentral:lncRNA from 1 species